rnacentral:lncRNA from 1 species
GGGAAACAGAGGCAUUUAGAGGAUUCUGAACUAUUAUGUGGGUGCUCACCAUUUAUCAGCUACCUGACUUGGGAGGUUUUUUAAUUCCUGUGAUGGUCUCCCAAUGUGUCAAAUCUUCAAUAUUACUUCCAUCAAUAGGUACAGUCGUGUUCUCCACCCUGGCUGAUCUCUCUGAAGAAGGGAAUGUGGAAGAUGUGGUAUCACAGGACUGUGAGGACAGGUUAGAAAAGCCCAUGUGGCCUUUUCUGGGUACCCUGGGGCUGCCUGGUGGAGAGGGGGUUUUUCAUAGACUGAUGUAAGUAUUGACUCAUUUAACCCUUACAACAAUGGUUUGAUAUAAAAAACAGAACUGUCUUUUAAAGAUAGGAAAAGAGAAGUGUGAGAGUACGUGACUUUCCCAAGGCCAUCACAACUUAUGGAAGAUCCAAGACUUGGAGCGAGGCCAUCUGGCUCCAGCACCUUUCCUCUUACUAGACUCUGGGCUGCCUGCCCUGCACUGGGCCUCCACUACUGCUUCCUCCUCCCUGCUGGGGGAAGUCUGCCUGAGAAGGAGCUUCAACCCUUUCCAGGACAGAGAGGGCAGGAGCCAUCCCAGAAUGUGUGUUGGGGGGCACAGGGACAGGCCUUUUCCCUUGGCAUAGUCCAUCACAACCUGGAUGGGGGGCUUUUUUGGAGAGAGAAGCAUAGAAAGGUAGGACUGGGAUCAAGACCAUGGGAGGAGAGGUCUGGGAACAAAGGGCAUGCACCCACUGCUUGGUCUGAUUGGGAGCAGGGACAGACCACCAUUUGCAGACAUCAGAGAAGCUAUGUGAGGGAAGGCGGCACAUUGUGGGCAAGAAUGGCACCUGUGCCUGGAAGCUCAAGGCAGGCAGAUUUCUGGCAACUUGAACUAGCUCUGGCCAAGAGUACCUAUUGACCCUACAAGUUCCACUGCAGCUCUUCCUGCCCCCACCCCCAGUGGCCUUUUUUCCAGGCAGGUAGCUUCCUGUAGUGGCUUGCAGUCAAGUCCUACAUUCUGUCUGAGUCCCAACUUUGCUCUCUUACUACAUAUAUGACCUUGGGUAAGUGGCAACCUCUCCGAACCUCAGUCUUGCCUCUGGAGAAAGAGAUGUGCUAAAACUUCUCUCAUAGGAAUUUCAAGAUACCAUGAGGUGAACUAUACAGAAUGCUUAUUAGCCUGGUGCCUGGCAUAUGGUGAAUGUUCAAUAAAUGGCAGCCAGAGAUGAGAGGGGAAGGGGAGAGAGGGAGAGGCCAUAGUGAGGAUUUCCCUUUCAUAUGCCAGGUGAGCUCCCAGGAAGACAACGGGUGCCGCACCUGGAUGUGGGCAGAGGCUUUGAGGCUGCUGGCUGGGACUGGGGUCUGAGGAGGAAGUGGGCAUGAACUAGGGGUGGGGGAGGCAGGGCAGCUUUGUCUCUGUCAGUUAAUUAAAUCCGGAAUGCUAACAAGCUUUCAAAACAAAAUGCGACUCAAGUACUCUUUGCAUGGGAUAUAAAAAACAAAACAAAACAAAACAAAACAAAAAAAACGGUUCUAUGAAAUUGCAAACAGCUUUGUUGCUGCAAACAAAGGCCCAGUUCUUUGUACCUUUCUGGCGUGGAGGCCCAAAAAGUACAAGGGUGAAAAGGGUCAAUGAAACUCGGAGGGUGCACCCCUGCCACAGCUGCC